UUUGCUACUUAUGCUAUCUGGGGGAUGGCUUGGCUUGAGUUGCCUAUGAAGGUCGUGGUAAGCUGCGAUAAGCUUGGGCGAGGAGCAUACAUCUUUGGAACCCAAGAUUGCCUAAUGGGACUUCCUAGCACAUUUUUUUUGUGUUGAUCCGUGUAGGAUUGGGAACCCGCCGAAUUGAAACAUCUUAGUAGGCGGAGGAAAAGAAAGCAAUAUGCGAUGUCGUUAGUAACGGCGAGCGAAAUCGACUUAGAACAAACUGAAUCCCUUUUAGUAAUAUUAGGGAGAUGUGGUGUAUAGACAUACUUUUAGGCCUCGGGGGAUAAAUCGAAUUUUAUUUGGAAUUUUAGAACCGUAGAGGGUGAUAGUCCCGUAGAUAUAUUCUCGUUUUUGAGGUUUUGUGUAUGAUUUUUUCUUGAGUAGGAUCCGUUGGAUAUCGGGUUUGAAUGUGGGAGGCAUCAACUUCCAAUUCUAAAUACGUCUCAAGACCGAUAGAGUAUUAGUACCGUGAGGGAAUGCUGAAAAGUACCCCUAUAGGGGGGUGAAAAGUACCUGAAACCAGAUAGUGACAGCCAGAUGUGGCGCGUAAGGAAUGAAUUCUUCCGAAAGAAUCAGUGGUAACAUUGUAGUAUGAGGAGGUUGGACUAGUGUUGCAUCGUCCGUCUUGAAACACGGGCCAGGGAGUUCUUUGUUGUGGUGAGGCUAAAAGGUUUUUAUCCUUGUAGUCGUAGGGAAACCGAUAUGCCCGCAGCGUUGUUGAGGGGCAAGGUCUUAAUAGGGCCUGGAAUCACAGCAUUGAAACCCGAAGCCGGUCGAUCUAUUCCUGAGCAGGAUGAAGUCGCUCUUACGAGCGAUGGAGGUUCGCAGGGUUGUUGUUCUGCAAAACACUCUUUUGACUUGGGAAUAGUGGUGAAAGGCCAAUCAAGGCCGGCGACAGCUGGUUCCACUCGAAAUGACUCUAAGGUCAGCCUGACUGGAGGUUGGUGGCGGGGUAGAGCACUAAUUGGACGUUUAGGGAGGGAAACUUCUCGGCGUACUGUAAAACUCCGAACUCGUCACCGUCGUAGAAGGUUGGAGUGAGGGGCGCGGGGUAAGCUUGUGUCCCGAAAGAGAAACAACUCAGACUAUGGUUAAGGCCCCUAAAUACUGGAUAAGUGUAAGGGAGUCUUUGGCCCAAGACAAUGGGAAGGUGGGCUUAGAAGCAGCCACCCUUUAACGAGUUCGUAACAGAUCACCCAUCGAGGUCAGAGGCACCUAAAAUGGACGGGAAUUAAUCCAGUUGCCGAUACCAUGGAACACCUUUUUUUUGGUGAUUGUGUAGAGUGGCGACCUGUGUGGGUUGAAGAGGGGGCGUGAGUUCCUUUGGACCUUGCAGGUAUGUGGAUCCUGGUAGUAGUAGCAGCAAAGUGAGGUGAGAAUCCUUACCGCCGGAGGGGCUAGGGUUCCUUGGCAAUGUUCGUCAGCCAAGGGUUAGUCGAUCCUAAGGUCAGUCAUAAGUUGAGCUGGUCGAAAGGGAAGCAGGUUAAUAUUCCUGUACAUAGUAAAUUUGCGGUGACGUUGAGGGCUAAUUUCUGACACUUCGAGAUAUGUUUUGUAGGAUUGUCGUCCUAUUUACGUGUUUAAGCCUGGGGAGAGGUGUAAUAGCGAGAACCAGGUGUAGGCAUUAUGAGCUGGUCGUUUUUGUACUGGUUUAACUGAUUCAUGGAGUCCUUGAAAAGGGAGUUAGUUUUGUAUUUUACUAUUUCGUACCGAGAUCCGUCACAGGUGCCCCUAGCUGAGUAGGCUAAGGCGUUUUAAGGUAAACUAGCUAAGGGAAAUCGGCAAAAUGGCCCCGUAACUUUGGAAGAAGGGGUGCCAGCUAUGUGAAUAGCUGGUCUCAGUGACUAGGGGGGCCCGACUGUUUAAUAAAAACAUAGCUCUCUGCUAGCCCGUAAGGGUGUGUACAGAGGGCGACACCUGCCCAGUGCUGGCACGUGAAGCUGGAGUUCAGUUCAGUGAAGCGCCAGUAAACGGCGGGGGUAACUAUAACCCUCUUAAGGUAGCGAAAUGCCUUGUCGGACAAGUACCGACCUGCAUGAAUGGUAGAACGAGGUCCCCACUGUCCCUAGCUAGAACUUAGUGAACCUGCUAUUCUGGUGCACAAGCCAGAGUCUUCCAUUGGGAAGCGAAGACCCCGUAGAGUUUUACUGCAGUCUGUCGUUGAAGCUUGGUUAUAGGUAUGCAGUGUAAGUGGGAGAAUUCGAUUAUAAGUCGCCAGGUUUAUAUGAUUCGUUCUUGAGACACCAA
rnacentral:rRNA from 1 species